GACGAACCGUGCGAACGUUAUUCGGAAUCACUGGGCUUAAAGCGCGUGUAGGCGGAUGAGCACGUCUGUCGCUGAAAUCCCCCGGCUCAACCGGGGAACGGGCGCGGAUACGGCUCGUCUCGAGGGGCGUAGGGGGACCUGGAACUUCCGGUGGAGCGGUGAAAUGCGUUGAGAUCGGAAGGAACGCCCGUGGCGAAAGCGAGGUCCUGGACGCCUACUGACGCUGAGACGCGAAAGCCAGGGGAGCGAAUGGG
rnacentral:rRNA from 1 species